rnacentral:rRNA from 1 species
AUUGAACGCUGGCGGCAGGCCUAACACAUGCAAGUCGAACGGUAACAGGAAACAGCUUGCUGUUUCGCUGACGAGUGGCGGGCGGGUGAGUCAUGUCUGGGAAACUGCCGGCUGGAGGGGGAUAACUACUGGAAACGGUAGCUAAUACCGCAUAACGUCUCAAGCCCAAAGAGGGGGACCCUCUGGCCUCUUGCCGUCGGAUAUGCCCAGGUGGGCUUGGCGUGUGGGUGGGGUAAGGGCUCACCAGGGCGACCAGCUCUCGCUGGUCUGAGAGGAUGACGAGCCAGACUGGAAGGGAGACACGCUCCAUACUCCUAGGGGAGGCAGCAGUGGGGAAAAUUGCACAAGGGGCGCAAGCCUGAUGCAGCCAUGCCGCGGGUAUGAAGAAGGCCUUCGGGUUGUAAAGUACGUUCAGCGGGGAGGAAGGGAGUAACGUUAAUACCUUUGCUCAUUGACGUUAACCGCAGAAGAAGCACCGGCUAACUCCGUG